GUAGGUGGCAAGCGUUGUCCGGAAUUAUUGGGGCGUAAAGCGCGCGCAGGCGGUUCUUUAAGUCUGAUGUGAAAGCCCACGGGCUCAACCGUGGAGGGUCAUUGGAAACUGGAGAACUUGAGUACAGAAGAGGAAAGCGGAAUUCCACGUGUAGCGGUGAAAUGCGUAGAGAUGUGGAGGAACACCAGUGGCGAAGGCGGCUUUCUGGUCUGUAACUGACGCUGAGACGCGAAAGCGUGGGGAGCAAACAGGAUUAGAUACCCUGGUAGUCCACGCCGUAAACGAUGAGUGCUAAGUGUUAGGGGGUUUCCGCCCCUUAGUGCUGCAGCUAACGCAUUAAGCACUCCGCCUGGGGAAUACGGCCGCAAAGGCUG
rnacentral:rRNA from 1 species